UAUAUCGCCACAAACGAUUGUAUGCUAUUUUUUUUUAAACGAAUAUUUAAGUAGGUACAUAUUGUUACGAUUAUGUCAUAGACCUCGAGUCGUAAAGAGAACAAUACAAUUUUGUGAACACAUCGUACCACCGUAGAUAGCAUGGCGUAACGUGACACGACGAUUUUUCUUUAAAGGUUUGCGAUGAAUUAGAAAUAAAAAAAAACAUUUAUUAAUGGUCUAAAUGCAUUCGAUGAUUUGAUGAGUAUACUAAAUAUUAAUACUUCUGCGAGGGAUGCACAUGCUAAGUAAAUAUCUUCCAAACUGUAAUUAGUAUAAAAAAAAUAUAGUUGAAUUGCGUUGAUUUUAUUUUGCAAAUUUUUUGUAAAAUAUAUUAAGUUUUCGGUAUAAUUAAAUUUUUCAGAUUUGGUGGUAUAUUAUUGCCUUUUUUAUAUUGAAAUUAUAGGUUAUCAAACGUCACUGCUUUAACAGGAGCAUUUAUUGAUACUCGUUAAAAUAUGUUCACGAAAAAUCUUUUUCAUAAAAACAAAAUAGUUUAAACUGCUGUAUAAUAAAUAUUUCAUAGAAUUAUAUUCAAUACCUUAGGCUGGGGGUUUUCAACCCGUGGCCCACAAUCACAUGCAUGUAUAUUUUCUAUUUCGAUAAAAUUAUAACGACUAAGUCAUCGCUAUUGGAAAUAUGAGAUAAGAUAAAUUAAAUUACCUAUCGAGAGAUAAAUGUUGCCUGUUAAUUCGUAAUCGAUAGUGGAACGAGCAUAAUACUUGUUUAUUGUAUAAAAGUUUCAAAAGAAUGUCAGUUAUUACACUAAAAAUAAAAUAAAAAAUUUGUAAUUCAAAAAUUUUUUUUAUUUAUAUUUGUUUUAAUAAUAAUAUUAAUUUGUAAUUAAAAAUGUAAUCAUAAAAAUUGUAAUAAUAACACUGAAUUUUUGUAUAAAUUACAUGUUUUACUACGAAUGCGGCCCGCAAGAUUAUCAAAAAAUAAUACGUGGCUCGCUGCAUAAAAAGAAUGAAGACCCCUGCCUUACGUUAUGAUAUGCAUAAUAACUCGAAAAAUUUUAAUUGAUUCCACAAGAGUUAAAUCCCAUCACACACAGAACAACUAUUUAUGCAAUGUAUUGAAAACAGAGAAAGAGAGAAUUAACCCAAUAUCGAACCACUUACCGAUAGAUUUAUUCAAAUCAAAACUGCAUACGGCAUCUGAUGUCACAACCGAACGUCAACGUUGCCCAGAUUAUCGCAUACGGUCAUCGGGAAUAUUUUACAAUAAUAUUAGGUACUAUGAAUAAUAUAAUAUAAUAUUUAUUUGUUUAAUGUUUUUAGUGUGAAAUUAGAUCACGUGCAUUUUAACCACAUAUUAUUACAUAUAAUUGGUGACUUUGGUACGUAUAACUCCAAAUGCGCAAAUACAUUAUCCUGUACGAGUUUAGUAUUUACAUUAUAUUAUAAUAUUGUGUUUGUGUUGAA